rnacentral:misc_RNA from 1 species
AAGUCGUAGGUGAACCUGCGGAAGGAUCAUUAACACGUAUCCCCCGUGCAUAUUAACCCUACUCUAAGCAAUCUCUGGUAAAUCACACAGAACAGUUUGAUUCAGAGACUUCUUUGACCGAAAGGAUAACUGAUACGAUCGUUGGCCCUCACGGUCAACGGACAAGUCUCUGGGGCUUCGGCUCCCCCUAUUUAACCCCUGGUCGGGCUUGCAAACUACAGGCCCACAAAACGAACAACUGUUAACAAUGGAUAUCUUGGUUCUC